GGAUUGUUUCCCUUGGAGCGUUUAGUGAGCCCUGUCCUUGGAAAGGGAUUCAAUACUGAGCCAGCAUCUAUGAGAGCUGGGAUGGAGCUCUGAAAACAAACUCUGGAAGCUCAGAUUUAAGUGUCCAGUGGUAUGAGGUCUACAACGUGUUGUUAGGCUGGGGAGAGCUGAAAGGGGAGGGAGGACUUGUCUGAAUUUAUUGCUAAUCCCAAACAAAUGAAGAAGCAGAAGCCUUCACCUUCUGGAAGCUGGCACAAACAGUUUUUAGAGCAAGCAGAUUUGGAAAAAUGAAACAGUUUUGGAGCAGAAGAACACUUCCUGUGAGUUUGAGGCUGUCCUGUAAAGAUCAAAAGAAGCAUAAUGAGAAGAGCCAGAAUGUUGUUGGCUGCUGGCAGUGUUAUCUGAAUUUGGAUUGAAGUUUCUGUG
rnacentral:lncRNA from 1 species